rnacentral:rRNA from 1 species
AUACGGAGGGUGCGAGCGUUAAUCGGAAUUACUGGGCGUAAAGCGUACGUAGGCGGUUAUUUAAGUUAGAUGUGAAAGCCCUGGGCUUAACCUGGGAACUGCAUUUAAAACUGGGUAACUAGAGUUUGAUAGAGGAGAGUGGAAUUUCAGGUGUAGCGGUGAAAUGCGUAGAGAUCUGAAGGAACAUCAGUGGCGAAGGCGGCUCUCUGGAUUAAAACUGACGCUGAGGUACGAAAGCGUGGGUAGCAAACAGGAUUAGAAACCCUAGUAGUCC